rnacentral:rRNA from 1 species
ACCCGCUGAACUUAAGCAUAUCAAUAAGCGGAGGAAAAGAAACCAACAGGGAUUACCUCAGUAACGGCGAGUGAAGCGGUAACAGCUCAAAUUUGAAAUCUGGCCUCACGGUCCGAGUUGUAAUUUGUAGAGGAUGCUUCGAGCAUGGUCUGGCCUAAGUUCCUUGGAACAGGACGUCAUAGAGGGUGAGAAUCCCGUAUGCGGCCAGGUGCCUACGCUCAUGUGAAGCUCCUUCGACGAGUCGAGUUGUUUGGGAAUGCAGCUCAAAAUGGGUGGUAAAUUUCAUCUAAAGCUAAAUAUUGGCCAGAGACCGAUAGCGCACAAGUAGAGUGAUCGAAAGAUGAAAAGCACUUUGGAAAGAGAGUUAAACAGUACGUGAAAUUGUUGAAAGGGAAGCGCUUGCAACCAGACUUGCGCGCGGCCGAUCAUCCGGUGUUCUCACCGGUGCACUCGGCCGUGCUCAGGCCAGCAUCGGUUUUGGCGGCUGGAUAAAGGCCCUAGGAAUGUAGCUCCUCUCGGGGAGUGUUAUAGCCUAGGGUGCAAUGCAGCCUGCUGGGACCGAGGACCGCGCUUUCGGCUAGGAUGCUGGGCGUAAUGGUUGUAAGCGGCCCCGUCUU